rnacentral:rRNA from 1 species
UACGGGGGGGGUAAGCGUUGUUCGGAAUUACUGGGCGUAAAGGGCUCGUAGGCGGCCAACUAAGUCGGACGUGAAAUCCCUCAGCUUAACUGGGGAACUGCGUCCGAUACUGGAUGGCUUGGAUUUGGGAGAGGGAUGCGGAAUUCCAGGUGUAGCGGUGAAAUGCGUAGAUAUCUGGAGGAACACCGGUGGCGAAGGCGGCGUUCUGGACUGUCUCUGACACUGAAGAACGAAAGCCAGGGGAGCAAACGGG